rnacentral:rRNA from 1 species
UACGUAGGGUGCAGGCGUUAAUCGGAAUUACUGGGCGUAAAGCGUGCGCAGGCGGUUUGCUAAGACAGGUGUGAAAUCCCCGGGCUUAACCUGGGAACUGCGCUUGUAACUGGCAAGCUUGAGUGUGGCAGAGGGGGGUGGAAUUCCGACGUGUAGCAGUGAAAUGCGUAGAGAUGUGGAGGAACACCGAUGGCGAAGGCAGCCCCCCUGGGCUAACACUGACGCUCAUGCACGAAAGCGUGGGGAGCAAACAGG